rnacentral:lncRNA from 1 species
UUUGACAGGUGAAGAGACCUCUUUCAGGCAGAGGGAACAAAAUAAGCCACAGUCCUCAUCCUUGAACCAGGUGAGAACUUCUAGCUUACUGGGUAAAGUCCAAUUAACGUGGUGCAGAAUUCCAUCCAUGGCAGGGCUCCUGCUGUCUCCAGCCUCAUCUCCAGGCACACCCUGCACCCUUGAGAAGACAAUGCUUCCGUGUCCACCAGUUCAUUCCUUCCAGACACAUCCCAGUGGUGUCUAGCUCAGGUCUCAGCUCCUGGAAAGGGACAAGGACGCCCCAGAGUCUGCUUUUUUGACACUUACCUUCUGGUCCCCCUGAAAAAUCAUGCUGCAUCACGCCUGCACAUUGUCCUUUCUGCGGAAAUGUCCUGUCUCCCCAUCUCUAUCUGCCAAAGACCCACGCAUAAUGCAAACAAUUCAGGUUUCACCCUUUGCAGUGAACUUUGUACAGCUCUCCCAGAGCCGUGGAGUCUAGGUCUAUGCCCAAGAGAGAUGCAUGAAAUGUUUUACUGGUUUCUGCAAAUAAGCCAGACCAAGGGAGAAACAGACCUUCAGCAAGUAGUAACCAAAUGCAAGUUUUGAGAAUGUGGAGGGAGAGGAGCUUCUGCCCCUGCAAACUGGGCAGUGCAUCCAAGGUCUCCUGCUAACAUCUGUCACUCAUCGGAGCCACCUGAUCUGAAGCGUUGUCAGGGUCAGUAUUUUUGUUCUGCCUGCUGUUUUGCUAAUGGAUCAAUGGCAGUCAGUAAAGAACAAACCGUGCCAGAAAAGAAUGUCCUCUUCUUCUCAGCUGACUCAGCUCGGGACAGGAAGACAGGGGGCAUCUGGCAUUUGGGGAAGCCCUUGAUUGUCCCUUAGGAAAUAACUGAAAAUGGAUUUGUGUUGGCCUGGUUCUAAGAAGGUCACCCAGGUUGAAUUUGAAAAGCAGAGGCACUGUGUCCACAAAAGAAAGUGAUAAGCAGCAAGCCAUUUCUCAAAGCUAAUGCCCGAGUGUGUACCACCGGGAUC